rnacentral:rRNA from 1 species
UACGGAGGGUGCAAGCGUUAAUCGGAAUUACUGGGCGUAAAGGGUGCGUAGGUGGUUUAUUAAGUUGUCUGUGAAAUACCUGGGCUCAACCUAGGCAGGUCAGAUAAGACUGAUAGACUCGAGUAUGGGAGAGGGUAGUGGAAUUUCCGGUGUAGCGGUGAAAUGCGUAGAGAUCGGAAGGAACACCAGUGGCGAAGGCGGCUACCAGGCCUAAUACUGACACUGAGGCACGAAAGCGUGGGGAGCAAACAGG